rnacentral:rRNA from 1 species
GAUGAACGCUGGCGGCGUGCCUAAUACAUGCAAGUCGAGCGAACAGAUCAGGAUCUUGCUCCUCCGACGUUAGCGGCGGAGGGGUGAGUAACACGUGGAUAACCUACCUAUAAGACUGGGAUAACUUCGGGAAAUCGGCGCUAAUACCGGAUAAUAUAUUGAACCGCAUGGUUCAAUAGUGAAAGACGGUUUUGCUGUCACUUAUUGAUUGAUCCGCGCCGCAUUAGCUAGUUGGUAUGGUAACGGCUUACCAAGUCAACGAUGCGUAGCCGACCUGAGAGCGUCAACGAGCAGACGGGAUGUGAGACAGGGCCCAGACUCCUACGCGAAGCAGCAGCAGAGAAUCUUACGCGAUGGAGGAGAGCCUGACGUAGCGAAGCCGGGGAAGGGAUGAAGGUGUUCGGAUCGGUAAACUCUGUUAGUAGGAGGGAACAAAUAUGUAUGUAACUAUGCAGGUCUUGACGGUACCUGGUCAAGAAGCCACGGCUAACUACGUG